rnacentral:rRNA from 1 species
UACGUAGGGUGCGAGCGUUGUCCGGAGUUAUUGGGCGUAAAGCGCGCGCAGGCGGCUUGGCGCGCCCGACGUGAAAGCCCCCGGCUUAACCGGGGAGAGUCGUCGGGGACGGCCGGGCUUGAGGGCGGGAGAGGGUGGUGGAAUUCCCGGUGUAGUGGUGAAAUGCGUAGAGAUCGGGAGGAACACCUGUGGCGAAGGCGGCCACCUGGGCCGACCCUGACGCUGAGGCGCGAAGGCGUGGGGAGCGAACGGG